UGAAAGAUGAAUCCCCAGACCUGGCAGAAAAUGAAAGGUUAGCGACAGAACUGAAACAUAAAAACCGUUUAUCCAGAUGGUCAUUUUCUCCUCCUGUCUUCACAUGGUCUUGCCUCUGCCUUUGUCCAAAUAUCCUCUUCUAAAGUGGAGCAGGGCUCACACUAAUCACUUCAUCUGAAUAUAAUCACUUCGUUAAAGACCUCAUCUCCAACCACAGCUUGCUUAGGUCUCUGCCCGGAGGACACCACCUUUUUCUCAGAUGUGAUGACCAGGAAGAAUGCUUCUCAGUUUUAUAAAAAGCCUGAGUCUCUGCUUUGUUCCGGCGACCACCUGAAGGCUUUCCUUCCCAGCUUGUCAUGAAUCGAGGCUGGCUGAUUUUUUCAAGUAUUUUAUAAUAUUUUUGGUGCUUUUCACCCUUCUACAUUCUCUAUGGAUUUAAUAAAGUUAAA